AAUGAACGCUGGCGGCGCGCCUAAUACAUGCAAGUCGAGCGAGAAGACGUAGCAAUACGUUUGUAAAGCGGCGAACGGGUGAGGAAUACAUGGGUAACCUACCCUCGAGUGGGGAAUAACUAGCCGAAAGGUUAGCUAAUACCGCGUACGCUUCUUGGACUUCGGUUCAGGGAGGAAAGCGAUGCCGAGGGUAUCGCGCUCUUGGAUGGGCUCAUGUCCUAUCAGCUUGNGGUGAGGUAACGGCUCACCAAGGCUUCGACGGGUAGCUGGUCUGAGAGGACGAUCAGCCACACUGGCACUGCGACACGGGCCAGACUCCUACGGGAGGCAGC
rnacentral:rRNA from 1 species